rnacentral:rRNA from 1 species
CCUACGGGUGGCAGCAGUGAGGAAUAUUGCGCAAUGGGCGAAAGCCUGACGCAGCGACGCCGCGUGGGGGAUGAAGGUCUUCGGAUUGUAAACCCCUUUCGGGAGGGAAGAUGGCCCUAGACAACUAGGGCGGACGGUACCUCCAGAAGCAGCCACGGCUAACUUCGUGCCAGCAGCCGCGGUAAUACGAAGGUGGCAAGCGUUGUUCGGAUUUACUGGGCGUACAGGGAGCGUAGGUGGUUAGGUAAGCCUCUCGGGAAAUCUCCAGGCUCAACCUGGAAAGAUCGGGAGGGACUGCCUAGCUAGAGGACGGGAGAGGAGCGCGGAAUUCCCGGUGUAGCGGUGAAAUGCGUAGAGAUCGGGAGGAAGGCCGGUGGCGAAGGCGGCGCUCUGGAACGUUCCUGACGCUGAGGCUCGAAAGCGUGGGGAGCAAACAGGAU